CGCCGCCGCCAGGAGCCUCCAUCGCCGGCCGCCGCAGCUCCAUCGCCCGACCCCGUCGCCGCCUCCAUCGCCGGCCGCAGCUUCUGCCUCCACGCUCUCCCCUCUCCUUUCCACCUGCUCUGCUGGCCGGGCGCGUCCACCGCCGGCCGCCGCUGCUCCGUCGCCGGCCCCGCCGCCGUCCGGCGCCUCCACCUCCAUUGCCGACCGCAGCUAAUCGCCUCCCCGCUCUCCCUCCCCCUCUCGACCUGCUAACUGAACGUACUAGGUUGGUCGCUUGAUUCCAGUCGGCGACCUGCUAGAAGAGUGAAGGUGCCAGGAGGAGGAGGAAGAAGAAGAUGCCUUGCCUCAACGUGUCCACGAACGUGAACCUGGAUGGGGUUGACACCUCCGCCGUCCUCGCCGACGCCUCCAAGACCGUCGCCACCAUCAUCGGCAAGCCUGAGGCCUAUGUAAUGGUUAUUCUUAAGGGUUCAGUGCCUAUGGCAUUUGGAGGUACACAGGAGCCUGCGGCUUAUGGUGAGCUGGUUUCCAUUGGAGGGCUGAACCCUGAUGUCAACAAGAAGCUGAGUGCUGGCAUUGCCUCUAUCCUGGAGUCAAAGCUGUCCAUUCCCAUGUCCCGUUUCUACCUCAAGUUCUACGAUUCCAAGGCCCAUCCUGCACAAGAACAUGCUCAAUGUUUGCAUGCUUUGCAUCAAGAAUAGAUCAGUGUAAAUGGCCAUCUGUUUUCUGUUGAAUAACAUCAUAUUGACUUUUGCAGUUAGCGCUCGGACUUCGGAUGGAAGGGCACCACCUUUUAGGUUAGGUCGUAUGCGUUGAAGGUGCGUGAAGCCUAAAAAUUGGUAGUAUCUUGUUCAUUGCCUGUCUGAGGACAAUGUUGUCACAUGUAUCAGUCUAAUGGCUGCAAGUCUUGAUGUGAACAUGGAAAUAUGCAGUGAAUGAAACUUGGCAUGCUUUAGAGCAA